rnacentral:rRNA from 1 species
CCUACGGGAGGCAGCAGUGGGGGAUAUUGCACAAUGGGGGAAACCCUGAUGCAGCGACGCCGCGUGUGGGAAGACGGUCCUCUGGAUUGUAAACCACUGUCCCCAGGGACGAAGAUGACGUUACCUGGGGAUGAAGCUCCGGCUACCUACGUCCCAGCAGCCGCGGUAAUCCGUAGGGAGCGAGCGUUGUCCGGAAUUACUGGGUGUAAAGGGAGCGUAGGCGGGACUGAAAGUUGAGUGAAAAAUCUACCGGCUCAACCGGUAGCCGCAAUCAAAACUGCAGUUCUUGAGUGAAGUAGAGGCAGGCGGAAUUCCUAGUGUAGCGGUGAAAUGCGUAGAUAUUAGGAGGAACACCAGUGGCGAAGGCGGCCUGCUGGGCUUUGACUGACGCUGAGGCUCGAAAGUGUAGGGAGCAAACAGGAUUAGAUACCCCUGUAGUC